rnacentral:rRNA from 1 species
GACGAACGCUGGCGGCGUGCUUAACACAUGCAAGUCGAGCGAUGAAACACCUUCGGGUGCGGAUUAGCGGCGAACGGGUGAGGAACACGUGAGGAAUCUGCCUUCCACUCUGGGAUAACUCCGGGAAACCGGGGCUAAUACCGGAUACUUUCAACUGGCGGCAUCGCCGGUUGAAGAAAGUUUUUCGGUGGAAGAUGACCUCGCGGCCUAUCAGCUUGUUGGUGAGGUAAAGGCUCACCAAGGCGACGACGGGUAGCCGGCCUGAGAGGGCGACCGGCCACACUGGGACUGAGACACGGCCCAGACUCCUACGGGAGGCAGCAGUGGGGAAUAUUGCACAAUGGGCGCAAGCCUGAUGCAGCGACGCCGCGUGAGGGAUGACGGCCUUCGGGUUGUAAACCUCUUUCAGCACUGACGAAGCGCAAGUGACGGUAGGUGCAGAAGAAGGACCGGCCAACUACGUGCCAGCAGCCGCCGUAA